rnacentral:piRNA from 1 species
UUGAGUAUCUAUUAUAUGCCAGUUGUCUAG